AAGUCGUAACAAGGUUUCCGUAGGUGAACCUGCGGAAGGAUCAUUAAAACAUAAUCCUUUUGGAUUUCAUAUCCGAAACCACAUACUGUGCACUGUAUACUGUUAGUUGCCCUUCGGUGUCUUAUUUUGUUAUUGUCAGUUUUUCCAUUUCGAGCGCCUAAAAAAGCGCUUGGCAUUGUUAUUCUGAUAAUAAUUUUUUUAAGUCAUCGGAGGGUAACAAAUUUAUUCAAACCUUUACUUGUCAUUUUACAACAAUGCCUGAAGUCAAAAACUUUAUAUUUUUGGUUGAAAAGCUCAAAAAAUAAAAAAAAAAUAAAAUUUAAAAACAACUUUCAACAACGGAUCUCUUGGCUCCCA
rnacentral:misc_RNA from 1 species